rnacentral:rRNA from 1 species
CCUACGGGGGGCAGCAGUGAGGAAUAUUGGUCAAUGGACGAGAGUCUGAACCAGCCAAGUAGCGUGAAGGAUGAUUGCCCUAUGGGUUGUAAACUUCUUUUAUAAAGGAAUAAAACGAGGCACGUGUGCCUUUUUGCAUGUACUUUAUGAAUAAGGAUCGGCUAACUCCGUGCCAGCAGCCGCGGUAAUACGGAGGAUCCGAGCGUUAUCCGGAUUUAUUGGGUUUAAAGGGAGCGUAGAUGGGUUGUUAAGUCAGUUGUGAAAGGUUGCGGCUCAACCGUAAAAUUGCAAUUGAUACUGGCAGUCUUGAGUACAGUUGAGGUAGGCGGAAUUCGUGGUGUAGCGGUGAAAUGCUUAGAUAUCACGAAGAACCCCGAUUGCGAAGGCAGCUUACUAAACUGUGACUGACAUUGAUGCUCGAAAGUGUGGGUAUCAAACAGGAUUAGAUACCCUUGUAGUC